rnacentral:rRNA from 1 species
AACGAACGCUGGCGGCAGGCCUAACACAUGCAAGUCGAGCGCACCCUUCGGGGUGAGCGGCUGACGGGCGAGUAACGCGUGGAAACGUGCCCAUCUCUCCGGCAUCUCUUCGGUAAACUGAGAGUAAUACCGCUUACGCCCUUUGUGGGCAAGAUUUAUCGUAGAAGGAUCGGCCCGCGUUGGAUUGGGUGGUUGGUGGGGUAGUGGCACACCAAGCCGACGAGCCAUAGCUGGUUUGAGAGGAUGAUCAGCCACACUGGGACUGAGACACGGCCCAGACUCCGACGGGAGGGAGCAGUGGGUAAUGUUAGAGGAUGGGGCCAAACCUGACGUCGCCAUGCCGCGGGAGUGGUGCAGGCGUUAGGGUUGUAAAGCCCUUUCAGCUGGGAAGAUAAUGACGGUACCAGCAGAAGAAGCCCCGGCUAACUCCGUG